rnacentral:rRNA from 1 species
AAACCAGCACCUCAAGUGGUCAGGAGGAUUAUUGGGCCUAAAGCAUCCGUAGCCUGUUCUAUAAGUUUCCGGUUAAAUCCAUUAGCUCAACUAAUGGGCCGCCGAAAAUACUGUAGAACUAGGGAGUGGGAGAGGUAGACGGUAUUCGGUAGGAAGGGGUAAAAUCCUUUGAUCUAUUGAGGACCACCUGUGGCGAAGGCGGUCUACCAGAACACGUUCGACGGUGAGGGAUGAAAGCUGGGGGAGCAAACCGGAUUAGAAACCCGAGUAGUCC